UGGGGAAUAUUGGACAAUGGGCGAAAGCCUGAUCCAGCCAUGCCGCGUGUGUGAAGAAGGUCUUCGGAUUGUAAAGCACUUUAAGUUGGGAGGAAGGGCAUUAACCUAAUACGUUAGUGUUUUGACGUUACCGACAGAAUAAGCACCGGCUAACUUCGUGCCACAGCCGCGGUAAUACGAAGGGUGCAAGCGUUAAUCGGAAUUACUGGGCGUAAAGCGCGCGUAGGUGGUUCGUUAAAGUUGGGAUGUGAAAAGCCCCCGGGCUCAACCUGGGAAACUGCAUCCAAAAACUGGCGAGCUAGAGUACGGUAGAGGGGUGGUGGAAUUUUCCUGUGUAGCGGUGAAAUGCGUAGAUAUAGGAAGGAACACCAGUGGCGAAGGCGACCACCUGGACUGAUACUGACACUGAGGUGCGAAAGCGUGGGGANCAAACGGAUUAGAUACCCUGGUAGUCCACGCCGUAAACGAUGUCAACUAGCCGUUGGGUUCCUUGAGAACUUAGUGGCGCAGCUAACGCAUUAAGUUGACCGCCUGGGGAGUACGGCCGCAAGGUUAAAACUCAAAUGAAUUGACGGGGUCAUAGCUGUUUCCUG
rnacentral:rRNA from 1 species